rnacentral:lncRNA from 1 species
CAGCGACAUUAGCUCACAGAUUCCUUCUGCUGAUUGACAUCACCCUUUGGAGUGAUGAGGGGAGAGAGCGCCAUCUACCCACCCAGAGACAGCAAGGCAAAUAGUGCUCUUUCAGGGCUCUGGCAGCUGAUGGCAAGCUGCAUGACCAGGAUUCGAACCGGUGAUCUCCCGAUCAUAAUGGCAGUGGCAUAAUAGUCCGAUGGACCACUCAGACCCCCAGUAUACAGUAUUUAUAGAACUACAAUGUUAUCUUAUAUAAUCAGUGGAGCUGAGGAGGUGGUCAUAAUGUUCUGCCUUACAGACUGUUGUUUUUUCCUGCCCGUUCUCUUUGUACUCCACUAACUCCGCCUGCUGUGUUCUUUGUAUGUCCGCAGAUGUCACACAGGAAACUAAUGAUAUGAAUGGCAUCGUCACCUCCAGGGACCCUUUGCUGGGGCCUGUGGAGCCCAAUCAGGAAACACUGAUACCUGGCAACGCUGCCAAGGCCCUUCCCCCUUUCCCCACCCAGAGUCCGGAGCAUGCAGACACUGUUGAACUGCUGGAGGAGCACACAGACCACACACGGCCCUCCUCUCCAGAAGUAUGGAAAAUUGGAGCGAUAGCAGCAGCGUUCUUCCUCAUUCUACAAACUGUCAUUACCGUCAUCUACAUUCUCAAGUGUAAAAGAAAGACUAGCAGUGGUGCAAGAAAAGACAAAGCAUGUGAGGAGGGAAAAGGAGGUGUUGAAAACAACAUGGCAAUGACAGAAACAAGCGUACCAGCAGAAGAACAAAACUCUUUGGACAGUCUGCCGAUAUACUCGAAGGUCCAGCAAGAGUCUAUCCCAAUGAAAACUAUCCCAGCAGACUCUACAGUGGUGUAAUCAUUAUAUGACCCAUCAACACCUUUGCUUUAGAACUGCUUAAACACCACUGACCAAUACAGACAUUGUUGACUGUCUGUAUCUUUGUGACUGUGGUUUACAACAGACUGUUGGUUUUACAUGUUUAUGAUAGUUUACUUGUGAUACGUUGUUUUAUUGUUGUAUUAUUUCUUGUUACCUUCAUCACGUAAUACUAAAUCUAUAUAGUUUAGUGUUGACAGUAUACUGUAGGUAUAUAUACACACUAUACAUCUGUACUGUAGUUGGUUGUGAUUUGAGUGGAUUAAAUAUUCUAUAAAAAAAAAAGGAAUGGUAAGAAUAAAGUAUGUCAGAUAAUUUG